AGAGUUUGAUCCUGGCUCAGGAUGAACGCUAGCUACAGGCUUAACACAUGCAAGUCGAGGGGCAGCAUGGUCUUAGCUUGCUAAGGCCGAUGGCGACCGGCGCACGGGUGAGUAACACGUAUCCAACCUGCCGUCUACUCUUGGACAGCCUUCUGAAAGGAAGAUUAAUACAAGAUGGCAUCAUGAGUCCGCAUGUUCACAUGAUUAAAGGUAUUCCGGUAGACGAUGGGGAUGCGUUCCAUUAGAUAGUAGGCGGGGUAACGGCCCACCUAGUCUUCGAUGGAUAGGGGUUCUGAGAGGAAGGUCCCCCACAUUGGAACUGAGACACGGUCCAAACUCCUACGGGAGGCAGCAGUGAGGAAUAUUGGUCAAUGGGCGAGAGCCUGAACCAGCCAAGUAGCGUGAAGGAUGACUGCCCUAUGGGUUGUAAACUUCUUUUAUAAAGGAAUAAAGUCGGGUAUGGAUACCCGUUUGCAUGUACUUUAUGAAUAAGGAUCGGCUAACUCCGUGCCAGCAGCCGCGGUAAUACGGAGGAUCCGAGCGUUAUCCGGAUUUAUUGGGUUUAAAGGGAGCGUAGAUGGAUGUUUAAGUCAGUUGUGAAAGUUUGCGGCUCAACCGUAAAAUUGCAGUUGAUACUGGAUAUCUUGAGUGCAGUUGAGGCAGGCGGAAUUCGUGGUGUAGCGGUGAAAUGCUUAGAUAUCACGAAGAACUCCGAUUGCGAAGGCAGCCUGCUAAGCUGCAACUGACAUUGAGGCUCGAAAGUGUGGGUAUCAAACAGGAUUAGAUACCCUGGUAGUCCACACGGUAAACGAUGAAUACUCGCUGUUUGCGAUAUACGGCAAGCGGCCAAGCGAAAGCGUUAAGUAUUCCACCUGGGGAGUACGCCGGCAACGGUGAAACUCAAAGGAAUUGACGGGGGCCCGCACAAGCGGAGGAACAUGUGGUUUAAUUCGAUGAUACGCGAGGAACCUUACCCGGGCUUAAAUUGCAGAUGAAUUACGGUGAAAGCCGUAAGCCGCAAGGCAUCUGUGAAGGUGCUGCAUGGUUGUCGUCAGCUCGUGCCGUGAGGUGUCGGCUUAAGUGCCAUAACGAGCGCAACCCUUAUCUUUAGUUACUAACAGGUCAUGCUGAGGACUCUAGAGAGACUGCCGUCGUAAGAUGUGAGGAAGGUGGGGAUGACGUCAAAUCAGCACGGCCCUUACGUCCGGGGCUACACACGUGUUACAAUGGCCGGUACAGAGGGCCGCUACCAGGUGACUGGAUGCCAAUCUCA
rnacentral:rRNA from 1 species